rnacentral:rRNA from 1 species
UACGGAGGGUGCGAGCGUUGUCCGGAAUCACUGGGCGUAAAGGGCGCGUAGGCGGCCUGAUAAGUAGGGGGUGAAAUCCUGCGGCUUAACCGCAGGGCUGCCUUCUAAACUGUCAGGCUUGAGCACAGUAGAGGCAGGUGGAAUUCCCGGUGUAGCGGUGAAAUGCGUAGAGAUCGGGAGGAACACCAGUGGCGAAGGCGGCUACCUGGACCAGCACUGACACUGAGGCACGAAAGCGUGGGGAGCAAACAGG